GACGUAGGGUGCGAGCGUUGUCCGGAGUUAUUGGGCGUAAAGCGCGCGCAGGCGGCCUCGCGCGCCCGACGUGAAAGCCCCCGGCUUAACCGGGGAGGGUCGUUGGGGACGGCGGGGCUUGAGGGCGGGAGAGGUCGGUGGAAUUCCCGGUGUAGUGGUGAAAUGCGUAGAGAUCGGGAGGAACACCUGUGGCGAAGGCGGCCGACUGGGCCGACCCUGACGCUGAGGCGCGAAGGCGUGGGGAGCGAACGGG
rnacentral:rRNA from 1 species